GACGAACGCUGGCGGCGUGCUUAACACAUGCAAGUCGAACGGAAAGGCCCUGCUUUUGUGGGGUGCUCGAGUGGCGAACGGGUGAGUAACACGUGAGUAACCUGCCCUUGACUUUGGGAUAACUUCAGGAAACUGGGGCUAAUACCGGAUAGGAGCUCCUGCUGCAUGGUGGGGGCUGGAAAGUUUCGGCGGUUGGGGAUGGACUCGCGGCGUAUCAGCUUGUUGGUGGGGUAGUGGCUUACCAAGGCUUUGACGGGUAGCCGGCCUGAGAGGGGGACCGGCCACAUUGGGACUGAGAUACGGCCCAGACUCGUACGGGAGGCAGCAGUGGGGAAUAUUGCACAAUGGGCGGAAGCCUGAUGCAGCAACGCCGCGUGCGGGAUGACGGCCUUCGGGUUGUAAACCGCUUUCGCCUGUGACGAAGCGUGAGUGACGGUAAUGGGUAAAGAAGCACCGGCUAACUACGUG
rnacentral:rRNA from 1 species